rnacentral:rRNA from 1 species
UACGAAGGGAGCUAGCGUUGUUCGGAAUCACUGGGCGUAAAGCGCACGUAGGCGGGCUUGUAAGUCAGGGGUGAAAUCCCGGGGCUCAACCUCGGAACUGCCUUUGAUACUGCUGAUCUCGAGUCCGGAAGAGGUGAGUGGAAUUCCUAGUGUAGAGGUGAAAUUCGUAGAUAUUAGGAAGAACACCAGUGGCGAAGGCGGCUCACUGGUCCGGUACUGACGCUGAGGUGCGAAAGCGUGGGGAGCAAACAGG